GCUCCUGAUUGGUUGUCGCGGCGCGAUUUGACGCUGGAGUUCAGAUUUUUCCAACUCAAGCGGUAGACGCAAAACGCGCGAAUGCACAAAAUGCAACACGAAAACUCACGCAGUUUUAUUUGUGAGUCAAACGCGCCAGACGCGCUACACUGACACGCGUUUCAGGCUUUUUUGCGUUUUCGCGUUUUCGCGACGCAAAUCUGCUUCCGAAUUUUCGCGGGACCCGCAAUUGCGUGUCAUCGCGCCUUUCCAUUGACUUUACAUGUAAACCUGACGCUCUAUUCGCGUCCAUCGCGUUCGGUGUGAACACACCGUCAGAGUUUGUUGGUUGUUCUCAGAACACGUCUGAAGAUGAAAGGGGGCGGAGCCUUUCAGUCUGUGGCACCAAGGCUGUGGAACAGUCUACCUCUACAACUAUGUUUGGUUGAAUCUGUGGAAUCCUUUAAAAAACAGUUAAAAACUUUACUGUUUAAACAAGCUUUCUGUUGACCAAUGAUUUUUACAUUUUUUAUAUUUUUAAUUUACAUUUAAACUCUAUAUUGUGUAUAGUGUCCAUUUUGCUAUUUAUCGUACUGUUUAUUUUAAUCUCUGUGUGCAGCGCUUUGUGACUACCUGUCUAUGAAAAGCGCUUAAUAAAUAAACUUUACUUACUUACUUAAGCAGGAAAUGACUGACUUUGUUACUAAGAUGCCCACUGUCAUAUUCCAGAAUCAGGUUCUAAAAUUCGCAAAUGGAUCUGAGACUUUUCCUUUCUUUAUAAUGAGUCAGAAAAUAUGUUUUUAGUAGGUCUACAGUUUGCUUUAACACAUUCUAAACCAGCAUGUGAAGAUACAAAGACUAAGUGCUGCUCUUCAGUAUACAUCCUGAAACUAGCCAAUGGAAAAAGGGUGUUUAGGAAGGGUGGACUUAAAGGGAAGAAGCUAAAGCUUGUUUCGGUCAGGGGUCUUUCCAUCUGAUCUAUUUUUUCUUUAUUUUUUAACAACCUUUUCUCCACUACUAUUUCCAAUUGAAUAUUAAAAAGUAUAUAUUAUGUUCCAAAGUUCACUACAAUGGCAAUUUGCCAGCUCCUCAUUUGUUUCCAUUUAGCUACUGUUGAAAUUCGUUCGAUUUGGGUAAGAGAAGAAAGCAGGCUGAGUCCCGGUAGGUGUCAAAAAUAGUGAUCUUUAUUACACACUUGCGCAAAGUGUGGGAAGAAAACUUGCAACAACAUUCUCCGCCGAGCGGACGCUCUCCAUCCUUAUAUUACCCAUGAUGACGUCACACAGUUAGACCUUACUGGAAAUGAUAACAGUUCCCCACACUCAAAAAGUUCUCCUUAUAUAGACAUCAGAUGCUACUUUAGAGACAACAAGUGUGUGAUAUGUUGUGCAUUUUGUGAAACUGUGUGUCCUUAUAGAGAGGAUGUCCUGACACGACCUCCCCUUUCUUAAUAAAUGUGUGUGUGAACGUGCGUGUGUUACAUGACUCUCUGUGCAUGUUGGUGUAAGUAAGCCUGAGUACGUGCAGAACUGAAUGUAGUAGGCCCAAGGUCCAACAGGACCCACAUCUUCGAGAGGUGUGAACACAAUGAUGUGGUGCAACAGCUUAUGCAGAUAGAAAGAAUGAUACAGAGCAACCAUAGACUGAUUAAAGUAAUGAGAAUAUGUGUACAUUAAUAUUUUGCUCAGAUUAACAUAGAUAUAAUUCAAAGAUUAUUCUGUCAACAGAUUCAACAAUGCUGAAUGCUUGAUCAAUAAUAGUUCUGAUUAUAAACUGUCACCAUAAGAAUACAAAAUAAAAUAUCUCUUGUCCACACUACUCUUAUAACUAUGUUUUUACUAAGCCAACUACAAGUGGGUUUUUCUCCAGACAUAAAUAUAUUUUUUUAGCUAACCAUGAAUUGUAUUCUCCACUAAGACUUUUUAUAAUGUUACUUUUACAGACUGAAUCUCUGUAACCUGUCAGAGGAACGCAAUGAAGCUCUGUCCUCAGCUCUCAGCUCCCAGUCCUCCUGUCUGAGAGAGCUGGACCUGAAUAACUCUGACCUGCAGGAUUCAGGAACAAAGUUUCUUUCUGAUGGACUGAAGAGUCCACACUGUAAACUGAAUAUUCUCAGACUGAGUCACUGUAACCUCUCAGAGAAAGGCUAUGAAGAUCUGUCCUCAGUUCUAAGCUCCCAGUCCUCUAGUCUGAGACAGCUGGACCUAAGUAACUGUGACCUGCAGGACUCAGGAGUGAAGCUUCUGUCUGCUGGAGUAAAGAGUCCCAACUGUACACUGGAAACUCUAAGUCUGUCAGGCUGUCUGAUCACAGAGGAAGGCUGUACUUCUCUGGCCUCAGCUCUGACCUCCAACCCCUCCCAUCUGAGAGAGCUGGACCUGAGCUACAAUCAUCCAGGUCACUCAGGAAUGAAGCUGCUGUCGGUUGGACAGAAGGAUCUAGGCUGGAGACUUGACACUCUCAGGUAUGAAGAAUGUCUGAUAGAGGAGGAAGAGCUGGAAACAUUUCCAGAUGAGACAUGAACAAUCACACAUGCAGGAAUAUUUUCAGGGACAGACACACUAGUGUAGCUGGAUAGUAUGGAUAUUUAUGUAGGGGGUCUCCAAGGAGUCUGUUUGCAGGGACAUUAAUGAUAACUGAUAAGUCAUGUUGAGAGUUUCAUUAAAAGUAGACCUACAGUUAGGUCCAUAAAUAUUUGGACAGAGACAACAUUUUGUAACUUUAGAUACACUUUAUUAGUUCACAGGUGUAUCUGAGAUAGUGGCCACUGUGUACCUAAUAAAGUGUCAGCCAUGUGUGUGUUUCCCAUGCUGUAUGUCCACAGUCACAGUGACAGUCAGUGACACUGACAGAAGGAUGAAACAAGGCUGUGAAUCAUUUCAGUCUGUGUGUGUGUGACAAAGAGGCAGACAGGAGCAGCUAACAUUUGGAAAUGGAAGCUUAAAUAAUGACAAACUCUAUACUCACAGCUGAAUUCACAAUAGAUUUGUUCUCGUGCACAUUUAGCAGCUAAUGCUAAUACUGUUUUCCCUUUGCUUUCUACAACUUGAGCAGCUAUUGCUAAGUAGGCCACUUUGCUCUGCUAACGAUUUGUGUGACCAUGAUGGAAACUCUGAAAGCUAAUGCUGCUAAGCUAAUACUGUUUAUGGGACCCUGUUAGAAUCAAUAUUUCAUUUUCAUUCUGUAGUUUGAGAACAAUAUUAACGUCUCACAUCAUUAUAACACAAGAGAAAAGGGUAUUAGCAUUAGCUACUAGUGCGUAUUCACCUCAAAUUAGCUUUAGCUGUUAAUGGGAGCCUACUUAGCAUAAACCCUUCACUUCGUUAUAAUGCAAGGGAAAAGAGUCACUCAUGGCAGCCUAUUUAGCAUUAAUGUCUCACAUCAAUAUAACACAAGAGAAAAGGUUAUUAGCAUUAGCUACUAGUGCUUAUUCACCUCAAAUUACCUUUAGCUGCUAAUGGCAGCCUACUUAGCAUUAACUCCUCACUAAUAUAAUGCUAAUUUACAUCAAAUUAGCAUUAGCUGC